rnacentral:rRNA from 1 species
GAUGAACGCUAGCGGCAGGCUUAACACAUGCAAGUCGAGGGGUAUAGGUUUUCUGACCUAGAGACCGGCGCACGGGUGCGUAACGCGUAUGCAAUCUACCUUUCACAGAGGGAUAGCCCAGAGAAAUUUUGAUUAAUACCUUAUAGUAUAGCAGUUCCGCAUGAAACCACUAUUAAAGUUUCAACGGAGAAAGAUUAGCAUGCUACCCAUUAGCUAGAUGGUAAGGUAAUGGCUUAACAUGGGUACGAAGGGUAGGGGUCCUGAGAGGGAGAUCACCCACACUGGUACUGAGACACGGACCAGACUCCUACGGGAGGCAGCAGUGAGGAAUAUUGGUCAAUGUACGCAAGUCUGAACCAGCCAUGCCGCGUGCAGGAUGACGGUCCUAUGGAUUGUAACCUGCUUUUGUACGAGAAGAAACAACAGUACGUGUAAUGUCUUGACGGUAUCGAAAGAAUAAGGAUCGGCUAACUCCGUGCCAGCCGCCGCGGUAAUAC